UAAGGUAGAAGUGGCUGGAAUAAGUAGUGUAGCGGUGAAAUGCAUAGAUAUUACUUAGAACACCAAUUGCGAAGGCAGGUCACUAUGUCUUAACUGACGCUGAUGGACGAAAGCGUGGGGAGCGAACAGGAUUAGAUACCCUGGUAGUCCACGCCGUAAACGAUGCUAACUCGUUUUUGGGUUUUUAAGAUUCAGAGACUAAGCGAAAGUGAUAAGUUAGCCACCUGGGGA
rnacentral:rRNA from 1 species